AUAUUGAUGGCCACCAAGUAGUC
rnacentral:piRNA from 1 species